rnacentral:rRNA from 1 species
GUGAGGAAUUUUCCGCAAUGGGCGAAAGCCUGACGGAGCAAUGCCGCGUGAAGGAUGAAGGCCUAUGGGUUGUAAACUUCUUUUCUCAGAAAAGAAUUAUGACGGUAUCUGAGGAAUAAGCAUCGGCUAACUCUGUGCCAGCAGCCGCGGUAAGACAGAGGAUGCAAGCGUUAUCCGGAAUGAUUGGGCGUAAAGCGUCUGUAGGUUGUAUAAAAAGUAUUCUGUCAAAGAUUAGGGCUUAACCCUAGAUAGGCAGAAUAAACUUUUAAGCUAGAGUUUGGUAGAGGCAGAGGGAAUUCCCGGUGGAGCGGUGAAAUGCGUAGAUAUCGGGAGGAACACCAAAGGCGAAGGCACUCUGCUGGGCCAAUACUAACACUGAGAGACGAAAGCGAGGGGAGCAAAUGGGAUUAGAAACCCUGGUAGUCC